GGAAAGGCCACGAAGGCAACGUGACACGUUCAAGUACCGACCGGACUUCGGUAGAAUCCGCUUGGUCAGAGUCACACGUGUGAUGUCAGCCGGGUAGCUAGCAAAUGACUUAACAUCCGCAGUGGCGAAUUCACGUGGAGAAAAAAGCCGGUGGGCCUUUCAUUUACCGCUCGUACGACUCCCUGCUAAUUGGCCAGCUGGUUGUCGGCGAUGGUUGCGGCGACUGGACCGGAGCGGGGGCUUCGCCUUGGUCCGCCAUGAUGAUGAUGAUGGUGGUUGUGAUGCUGAGCUGGUUAGCCGUACCCUCGCUGACACACAGAGCGACAGACACGGAGAGAGUCAGCCCUGACCUCCCCUCCUCGGCGUGAGUGUCAGCUGGCAGCCGCAGCCGAGCAACUGCCGCGUGCGCGGAGAGCAACCCGGAAAAUAAAAGCGGCAGUCAGGCUAGUGGCCUCAUACACACAAAGCGCCUCGUCAUGUUGCCAGAUAGCUCGCUUUUCCGCACACUGCUUCCUUUUUUCAAACAGCAUAGAUGGGGGACAUUUAGCGCUGUUAUUUGGCAGCUUUUUAAGCCUGGGGUGUCCUAACUUUUUCCACCAAGGGUCUCAUACUGAACAAUAAAGGAGCACAAGGGUACGUCAGUAUUUUCCAUAAUUAUAAUUUUGUAAAACGGCUCAAAACUGAAAGAAAAAAAGGCCUUCAACUGUAUAUACACAGCAGGGGUUCAAAGUGAGAUCCGCAGCUGAUUUUAUCGUGCCUUGGCACAUUGUAAAAACAGUAAAAAAAAAAAAAAAAAAAAAGAAAAACUGUCAAAAGCAACAAAAGUGGGAAAAAUGGAUUUUUGAAAAUAUUCCAAUAAGGCAUCAUAAAGUCAUAAGAAAAAUAUUUUUAAAACAUUUUUAUGAGAAUAAAAUCAUACUACUUUUGAAGCAUACAGUAAUAGUAAACACAUUUUGAACACGUAAUUAUUGAAAAACAGAAAAUGAAUAAACUUGAAAUUUUUGGGAAAGUAAGUUUUUAAAAAAUUAUAAUAUUACAAGAACAAAGUCACAAUAUUAUGGGAAUAAAGUCGAUGUUACAAAAAAAUUGCAAGAAGGAAGUUUUGUAUAACUGAAAACCAACAGCAAAAGUAGAAUCCGGGUAGCGCAGAAAUAGUUCAUCGCAAUAAUACACUUGGUCACCUAUAACACAAAGCUGAGAUGCAAACAGGUAUAACUUUUUAGCAUACAUACACGGGUUAGUUUAAAACAUGAAAAAUAUCAACUUAGCCCCUGUAUCCUUUUUAUUGUUUACCAAGGAAAAUAUUGGACACCCCUGAUAUACAGUAUCAAGGGGUUGAUAAUUACUGGGCCAAUGUGAGGGAAUUAUGUCAUACUGAAGAGAGUAAUAAAAUCCACUUUGUGUCAAAAAGGUAUUUAUGACAUGUCUUGAUUGAUUUAUGACCCCCUGUCAUAAAAGUUUAUGACAUGCCCCUCCCCCCACCCCCCACCCCCCAACAUCAAAGCGUUUUCACACCUAUGUGACGAAGAUCAAAGCGUUUUCACACCUACGUGACAUGUUUAUGACAGGGCAAUAAAACAAUAAAAGUUUAUGACGGGCCAAUAAAACAAUAAAACAUCAAAGUGUUUUCACACCUAUGUGUCAGGGAUCAAAGCAUCAGGAAGCAAUAAAAUUUUAUGGCAUACCAAUAAAACAAUAAAAGUUUAUGGCAUACCAAUAAAGCAAUAAAACAAUAAAACAUCAAAGCAUCAGGAAGCGGACAUGCGGAAGUCAUAAACGGACAUCUGGAAGCCAUAAACCAUGAAAGAAGUUUCACACCUAUGUGUCAGGGGUCAAAGCAUCAGGAAGCGGACAUGCGGAAGUCAUAAAACAAACAAACAAUCAUAAAAUCAUUCCCACGUGACUGUGUUUUCUUCCGGCUGCGUGUGGGGGAAGCCCCCAUUCCCAUACCCCUCCUUUCCUAACGACCCCCCCCUCCACCCCCACCACCCCCAAGACAUCCUCCGGCCUUAUCUGGGUGUGUCUCAGCAUGUGUGACUGGGGCCCCCAAUACCGCCCCCGCCGGCCUGUCUGUGUGUCAGGUUGUGUCUCAAACAUGUAGUUUUCUCAUUGAAACAAUAGAAAUAAUACUGCUAAAACAGUCAAAGCAUUGCAUCCUUAGCUCACACGUCCCCAUUCAAACCAUUUCAAUCCGCCAUUUGCAAAGACAGUCAAAACACUGAUCAAAACAACAGUCAAAACACUGAAAACACUUUUUUUCCACAUUCUCAUUGAAACAAUAGAAAUAAUACUGCUAAAACAGUCAAAACAUUACAACCUUAGCUCACACGUCCCCAUUCAAACCAUUUAAAUCCGCCAUUUGCAAAGACAGUCAAAACACUGAUCAAAACAACAGUCAAAACACUGAAAACACUUUUUUUCCACAUUCUCAUUGAAACAAUAGAAAUAAUACUGCUAAAACAGUCAAAACAUUACAACCUUAGCUCACACGUCCCCAUUCAAACCAUUUAAAUCCGCCAUUUGCAAAGACAGUCAAAACACUGAAAACACUUUUUUUACCAUAGUCUCAUUGAAACAAUACAAGUAAUACUGCUAAAACAGUCAAAACAUUACAACCUUAGCUCACACGUCCCCAUUCAAACCAUUUCAAUCAGCCAAUUGCAAAGACAGUCAAAACACUGAUCAAAACAACAGUCAAAACACUGAAAACACUUUUUUUCCACAUUCUCAUUGAAACAAUAGAAAUAAUACUGCUAAAACAGUCAAAACAUUACAACCUUAGAUACCAGUCUUUCUACUACAGCUAUUUUGUUAAAAAUUAUAUUUUUUAAGAAAAUGCCAUGAUUACCUGUCAGCCGUCCAUCCACCAACCUUGUUUCUUCAAUAGCAAAGUACAAAUGACACAUCUAGGCCACUCCCUCAUGCAUCUAGACCACUCCCCCCAGCCAGCUGAUACAAUUACUGUUGAAAAAUCACAGCUAUCAGCUUGACCCCUUGGCGUUAAAACAGACUUUAUACAUGAAAGCAAAUAAAGGUGAUAUAGAGAGUCAGAGUCAGGAAGCUGUAAAAAACAUGAAACCUUGGGACAACUAUCUUAUCACCCCCCAUGACUUAUCAACUGUGGAUCAUUACAAUCAUCUCUAAGUACCCAAAUACAAGAAUGUACUAUAUUCUAUUUAUUUCCUUAGUUCCAAACGCGUACCAGUAUACUGCAAGUACCCAAAUACAAGAAUGUACUAUAUCCUUUAUUUACAACACAGUAGCAGUAUACUGCAAGUACCCAAAUACAAGAAUGUACUAUAUUCUAUUUAUUUAUUUAUUUCCAAACGUAGUACCAGUAUACUGCAAGUACCCAAAUACAAGAAUGUACUAUAUUCUAUUUAUUUAUUUAUUUCCAAAUGCAGUACCAGUAUACUGCAAGUACCCAAAUACAAGAAUGUACUAUAUUCUUUAUUUCCAAAUGCAGUACCAGUAUACUGCAAGUACCCAAAUACAAGAAUGUACUAUAUUCUUUAUUUCCAAAUGCAGUACCAGUAUACUGCAAGCACCCAAAUACAAGAAUGUACUAUAUUCUUUAUUUCCAAAUGCAGUACCAGUAUACUGCAAGCACCCAAAUACAAGAAUGUACUAUAUUCUAUUUAUUUAUUUAUUUUGAAACGCAUCAGGCUUUGCCCCCUUUACCUAGUCUUUGUGAAGCUUUGAUCAACAGGGCUCCUCUUGGAACUUCUUCUCCUGGCUUGUUUGUCAUGAAUGAACACCCUGACUCGGGUCCAUUUGGUGUGACUUCUCUCGGGAGUCCAUCCUGGCCGCAUCUCCAUUUGGUCUGCUUUCUUAUGUUAAAAUGUUUUGCAUCUCAGCAUGAUGUAUUGGACUUGUAGAGCUUUCCUCACACAGCCAUGCUAUCCCUGCAGCGUCUUAUCUUUUAAUCAGCACGCUAGUGUUAUGAAGGACUAAAGGAAGGUAGACUUGCAACCAUUUGGGCUCUGUUAAUAAAAAUAAAAAGUCUAGAACAUACUGUAUAAAGGUGAUCUAAAACAAUAGAUAGUGACUUUGUUAGGUAUGUGUCCUUCUGAAAGCCUUUCCUACAAAGGAGUGUCUUGAUUGAAAAGUGUGAAUGUUGGUCAUCAGCAAACCUGAUUGUCCUGAUGCAUACAUUUGACAUUACAGGGCCAAUUCCUCCCCCUAAAGUGGAUGCAAAUACUGUACAUACUGUAUGUUGGCUAACAGAAAGACACGCAUAUACUGUUUACAUAUGACCAAUAUUAUAUUUAUUAUCACUAUGUAUAUAUUGUUAGAGGUUGUUAUUAUUGUUAUUCAUUGUCUAGUUGUCCAGAUAUGAUGUUUUGUAUGAGUUCUAUUUAUUAUUUUCAUUGUGUCCUUUUUAAUCACAGUUAAUUAGUACAUAUGUGUACUAUUCAUUUUGACUUCUCUUUUACUUCUUUCUUCAUUUUUUCUUUUUAUUACAGUUACAACACGGCGUUCAAGGGGUUGGUAAUGACACAAUAUAUGCAUGCUACCCGUGCAUUCUGUAUGAAAUCCUACAGAAGUACUGAUAUGAUGCUACUUCAGUUACACAUUUGACGAAUACAUCACUAGCAGCAACUUUAAAGGUUCUUUCAGUUAGAUAUGCGUAUGUGCCUGAUAGGACAGGAUGCUCCAUUUGUUGUAUAAUGUAUAAUCAUGCCAUUCACUCAGAAGGGGUCGUAAGCACAAUACGCUUUUUUUAUUUAUUUAAUUUCCAAACACAUUGCCGGUAUACUGUAAGCAUUCAAAUACUAAAGCAGAGACAUUAUUUGAUUAAAAAAACAAACCAACAAACAUGCCCUGACUUGUCUCCAGGACAUGGGGGGGGGGGGGCCUCAGGAGGCAGGCUAUGCUUCCUCAAUCUCCACCCCCUUUCGACAGAUACCCGAAAAACCAUCCGCUGUACUCACGACAUUCUACAACCAUUUGGGCUCUGUUAAUAAAAAUAAAAAGUCUAGAACAUACUGUAUAAAGGUGAUCUAAAACAAUAGAUAGUGACUUUGUUAGGUAUGUGUCCUUCUGAAAGCCUUUCCUACAAAGGAGUGUCUUGAUUGAAAAGUGUGAGUGUUGGUCAUUAGCAAACCUGAUUGUCCUGAUGCAUACAUUUGACAUUACAGGGCCAAUUCCUCCCCCUAAAGUGGAUGCAAAUACUGUACAUACUGUAUGUUGGCUAACAGAAAGACACGCAUAUACUGUUUACAUAUGACCAAUAUUAUAUUUAUUAUCACUAUGUAUAUAUUGCGCUUAAUGCACCCGGAAAGAUUGGUUAGAGGUUGUUAUUAUUGUUAUUCAUUGUCUAGUUGUGCAGAUAUGAUGUUUUGUAUGAGUUCUAUUAAUUAUUUUCAUUGUGUCCUUUUUAAUCACAGUUAAUUAGUACAUAUGUGUACUAUUCAUUUUGACUUCUCUUUUACUUCUUUCUUCAUUUUUUCUUUUUAUUACAGUUACAACACGCCGUUCAAGGGGUUGGUAAUGACACAAUAUAUGCAUGCUACCCGUGCAUUCUGUAUGAAAUCCUACAGAAGUACUGAUUUUUUUAUUUAUUUAAUUUCCAAACACAUCGCCGGUAUACUGUAAGCAUUCAAAUACUAAAGCAGAGACAUUAUUUGAUUAAAAAACCAAACCAACAAACAUGCCCUGACUUGUCUCCAGGACAUGGGGGGCCUCAGGAGGCAGGCUAUGCUUCCUCAAUCUCCACCCCCUUUCGACAGAUACCCGAAAAACCAUCCGCUGUACCCACGACAUUCUACUGUCAUCUGGAACUUGAUUGAGAGAAGGAGACUCUUUUUCCCCCAACCCCUAUUUAAUUCAACAUGGCGCAGCAGAGGUCUUCAGGAAUCAUCAAGGAUCCACACAAUAAGACGGCUGAAUGCACCAACCUCGACAAUGUCCCUACAACUUGGGGUUAUGCCGACAAUGAAUCGACCUACGUGCCCGUUUAUCGGCACGACGACGUAACCCCGUCUGAAGACGUUGGAAGGGCGACAAGAUUCACUGCAAACAUCAUCACCCUCUUCCAAACCUUACUGAAAAAAUGUUUGAAUCAGGUAGCGUGGGAAAUAGCACGAUCUGAAUGCAACGGCUGCAUCAUAGAACAUCCAAGCCAGUUGCAGCAUUCCUGUCUAAAUGAACGAGGAAGAGUCAUUUACAUCAACCACUACAGCAGGGUAGUUGACAGCGUUUUCCGUCCUACCCUGACAACCGCACUUCAGCAGCUGUCAUGUGUAGAACCAGGAUACGUUGUUAUAAGUACAGAGAGACUUCUUGGUGCUGCCGAAGUAAUAAUACACGACCUGAUGGAGAAAGCAUGCUUUGGUCGCACUCAGGACGACGAUGAGGAGCAAGGAAAUGAGCCCUCACCUACAAAAAUAUCCAUGGCUUUCUUGACAUGGUUACACUAAAAACCAUGUGUCUUCUUUUGUUUUUAUUAACUUUUAUAUCUCUUUUAUACAAAAAUGGACAUUUUUAUAUGUAGGAUUACCUCACUUAUGUACUUCAAAUGACAAAUUUAUUCCUUUGUUUUAUCCUGUCACGGUUAGGUACUGCAAUGGGGGGCGCUACUGCUCCAACAGCCUGUUUCCCGCCCCCACUUCCUGCUCAGCCAUGGCUGCUAAUUGUCCAUUGUUUUUCCGAGACUGCGUACACGCGUGCGUUCCUGUGCUUUCCCCUUUUGUUUCUUUUUUCCUGGCUCAAACAACAAUUGUUAAGAAUAUAGAUUUUUUUUUCUGCGUGCUUGCGUGUGUACAGUUUUUGCUGGUUGGUGUUGUUAUAUUUUUGGGUGAAAAAGCGUCAUUUACAUCCAAGGAUGGAGACCACCUUUAA